AGUGGCGGACGGGUGAGUAACGCGUAAGAAUCUAACUUCAGGACGGGGACAACAGUGGGAAACGACUGCUAAUACCCGAUGUGCCGCAAGGUGAAACCUAAUUGGCCUGGAGAAGAGCUUGCGUCUGAUUAGCUAGUUGGUGGGGUAAAGGCCUACCAAGGCGACGAUCAGUAGCUGGUCUGAGAGGAUGAGCAGCCACACUGGGACUGAGACACGGCCCUGACUCCUACGGGAGGCAGCAGUGGGGAAUUUUCCGCAAUGGGCGAAAGCCUGACGGAGCAACGCCGCGUGAGGGAGGAAGGUCUUUGGAUUGUAAACCUCUUUUCUCAAGGAAGAAGUUCUGACGGUACUUGAGGAAUCAGCCUCGGCUAACUCCGUGCCAGCAGCCGCGGUAAUACGGGGGAGGCAAGCGUUAUCCGGAAUUAUUGGGCGUAAAGCGUCCGCAGGUGGUCAGCCAAGUCUGCCGUCAAAUCAGGUUGCUUAACGACCUAAAGGCGGUGGAAACUGGCAGACUAGAGAGCAGUAGGGGUAGCAGGAAUUCCCAGUGUAGCGGUGAAAUGCGUAGAGAUUGGGAAGAACAUCGGUGGCGAAAGCGUGCUACUGGGCUGUAUCUGACACUCAGGGACGAAAGCUAGGGGAGCGAAAGGGAUUAGAUACCCCUGUAGUCCUAGCCGUAAACGAUGGAUACUAGGCGUGGCUU
rnacentral:rRNA from 1 species